GAUGAAGAACUCAGCGAAAUGCGAUACGUAAUGUGAAUUGCAGAAUUCAGUGAAUCAUCGAAUCUUUGAACGCAUAUUGCGCUCUCUGGUAUUCCGGAGAGCAUGCUUGUUUGAGUAUCAGUAAACACCUCAACUUCCAUAUCUUUUUUUGAAAUGGGAGUUGGACUUGAGUGAUCCCAACGCUUUUCCUCACCGAAAAGUGGCGGGUUACUUGAAAUGCAGGUGCAGCUGGACUUUUCUCUGAGCUAUAAGCAUAUCUAUUUAGUCUGCCUAAAAAACAGAUUAUUACCUUUGCUGCAGCUAACAUAAAGGAGAUUAGUUCUUGUGCUGACUGAUGCAGGAUUCACAAAGACAGCUUCGGCCGACUUUGUAAACUCGAUCUCAAAUCAAGUAAGACUACCCGCUGAACUUAAGCAUAUCAAUAAGCGGAGGA
rnacentral:misc_RNA from 1 species